UACAGAGGGUGCGAGCGUUAUCCGGAAUUACUGGGCGUAAAGCGCGCGUAGGCGGCUUUGCAAGUCGGGUGUGAAAUCCCCAGGCUUAACCUGGGAACUGCAUUCGAGACUGCAUUGCUAGAGUAUGGGAGAGGGAAGUGGAAUUUCCGGUGUAGCGGUGAAAUGCGUAGAUAUCGGAAGGAACAUCAGUGGCGAAAGCGACUUCCUGGACCAAUACUGACGCUCAUGUGCGAAAGCGUGGGGAGCAAACAGG
rnacentral:rRNA from 1 species